ACAGUUUACAGUAAUUUUAAUUAAUAGUUUACACUAAUUUAAUUUUAUGUUCAAUUAACAAUUGUCAGUGUGUAAAUAGCUUUUAAAAUAUGUUUAGAAAGAAAAUAAUGGACAUGGAUAAAGAAUUAAAGAACAAAAAGGGGAAAAAAAAAGUUUAAGAACAAACCAGGACUUAAUACUUGAACUUUCAUAUAAAUAUAGUCGAAUUUUAUUAAAUUAUCUAAUAAAGAAAAGGGAAAAAAUGUAGAACGUGUAUUAAUGACUACUAUAUUAGAAAUUGACAGUAUAAAACAUAUCUCAGAAGAAUAGUUACACAAAAUCAAUAAUUUAGAAGAAAAAAAAACUAUCUGAUGCCAAUCUUGAUAAACGUUUUGCAAUUAAAACAGUAGAGGAAAAAAAUAAAGGUUAAAUACAAGAAGAGAAACUACAAUUGAUGGAGAAAUUGAAGAAAAAGGAGAAAGAGGAUGAAGAUAAAUCUAUUAAAGUAUUGAAAGAAUUGGAAAAUGUUAAAGUCUCUUUGGCAAAAUUAAUUGCAAAGAAACUACAAAUAAUAAAAUAUAAGGAGAUUUAACUGAUAAGAUGAUUUAGUUUCAUUAAUAUUUAAAAUUUACCAGUUUUCUUAAUUCUAUUUUUUAUUUUCCGCUUUAUAGAAAAUAUUUUUUAAUGACAGAUGGUGAUAAAUAUUUUAAAUAUUUUUCACAAGUUUUAACAGAACCAAAUAAUCAAAAUAGAAAUCACACCACACAUUUUAAAAAACAACAACUUCCUGUAACCGAUUCCAAAGAAAUUCCAUUCACUAAAAUAAUAUUAGAAUGAUGCGACAUCCGGGUAACCUUUGACACUGGAUGUAUUACCGAAUAAAAAAGCAACGCAUAUUCAUUAUGAACUGUUAUAUUGUUUUUUUAAAGGAUUUCUUUCAAGACUACAUUCUUAAACUAUCAAUGGAAUUCAAGUUCAAUGCCCUGGAAAUAGCCUAUAG